rnacentral:rRNA from 1 species
AUGGCGAUGUCUCGCGCCGCGGCAGCGGUCGGGCGGCGCCGGUGCGGGCCGCGCCUGCCCGCGGCGAGGUCCAUGGCGUCGUGGUUCGGCCACGUGGAGCCGGCCGCCAAGGACCCCAUCCUCGGCGUCACCGAGGCCUUCCUCGCCGACCCCUCGCCGGACAAAGUGAACGUCGGCGUCGGUGCGUACCGGGACGACGACGGGAAGCCCGUGGUGCUCGAGUGCGUGCGCGAGGCGGAGCGGCGCAUCGCCGGGAGCACCAACAUGGAGUACCUUCCAAUGGGAGGAAGCGUGAAGAUGAUCGAGGAGUCGCUGAAGCUGGCAUACGGGGAGGAUUCUGAGUUCAUCAAGGACAAGAGGAUUGCGGCAGUGCAGGCUCUUUCAGGGACUGGUGCAUGUCGCCUCUUUGCAGAUUUCCAGAAACGCUUCUUGCCGGAUUCACAGAUCUACAUACCUACGCCUACAUGGUCAAACCAUCACAACAUUUGGAGGGAUGCCCAGGUACCACAAAGAACAUUUGCCUACUACCACCCGGAAUCAAGAGGACUGGACUUUGCAGGCCUAAUGGAUGAUAUCAAGAACGCUCCAGAGGGUUCCUUCUUUUUGCUUCAUGCAUGUGCUCACAAUCCCACUGGGGUCGAUCCUUCUGAGGAACAGUGGAGAGAGAUAUCUCAACAAUUCAAGGUGAAGAACCAUUUCCCAUUUUUCGACAUGGCAUACCAAGGAUUUGCCAGUGGUGACCCAGAGAGAGAUGCCAAGGCAAUUCGGAUCUUUCUCGAAGAUGGACAUCAAAUUGGAUGUGCACAGUCAUAUGCAAAAAACAUGGGACUUUAUGGCCAAAGAGCAGGAUGCCUUAGUAUUCUCUGCGACGAUGAAAUACAAGCAGUUGAUGUGAAGAGCCAGUUACAACAGAUUGCCAGACCUAUGUACAGCAACCCACCCAUUCACGGCGCACUAAUUGUUUCCACUAUCCUUGGUGAUCCAGCACUGAAAAGCUUAUGGCUGAAAGAGGUCAAGGGUAUGGCUGAUCGCAUUAUUGGAAUGCGAAAAGCACUUAAGGAGAGCCUUGAAAAGUUGGGUUCACCAUUAUCAUGGGAACAUAUUACUAAUCAGAUUGGCAUGUUUUGCUACAGCGGGAUGACACCUGAACAAGUUGAUCGCUUAACAAAUGAAUUUCACAUAUACAUGACUCGUAAUGGCAGGAUAAGCAUGGCUGGUGUAACAACAGGAAAUGUCGCAUAUUUGGCUAACGCUAUUCAUGAGGUCACUAAGCCAAUUUAA